ACUGCAGACAAAGAGUAUGGCCUUAUGAGUCAGAACCCGUGUGCAGCCGGUCACCAGCUGCUGCCUGGGAGCUCUGGGAGCUACUGGAGUGGCAGUUUCCUCAUUCCUCACGCAGGGUUAUGUAAGGAUUAGAGAUAAUUCUAAUCCUUAGAGCAGUAGCUGCUGUUACUACUAUCACUACUAACAUUCUUCAGGACCUGAAGGAAACUCCACCAACUUGUUUAAGGGAGUGCAUCGAACCCUGUGGCAGCAUCGCUGAGAUUGGACGCCUGCUCUUUCUAUCAAGAAGCUACAGUGCAGUAAUUAAUUCAUUGUUCAAAUUUCAGAGCAGGCCAGGUUUUAAUCCCCUCUGAAAUUGGUUUCGGAUGUGGAAGUCAUAGUUCUCCACCUUCUAAUUACAACAGGGAGAUAAUGUGGCAUCAGUAUCGCAAUUUUGAGCAUGGCAUUGGGCUGGAAAUAAAUAUCAUUUAAGCUUUGACAGCAUGGCUGGUUGGAAACAUUUUCUUUUCUAUUUCACAAAUUUAAUGCAGAGAAGAGGCUGUGCUUAUUCAAAAGAAUUAUUCCUUGAGCUGCCAAAAAAAUUAAAUGGGGGGCAUUUUGAAUUCUAAGUAAACAGUCUUUCACUCUCAAAGUGAGCUUCUAGUCAGAUGGAGUGACUUGUUUGCGUAGACUUGCUGAGAUAAUAUUGCCAUCGAGUUGAUUGAAUUUGCAUUGCUUUUAUCACGCUAUUUAUUUACAUAUACAUUGAACUUUGCACAGAAAGUCACUUCUGAGCAAGGGUGACGGUGUCAGUCUGAAAGAAAGACUGGAGCAAGAGAAAAAAUGCAGUUUUGUAGCUGCUACCUGGCUAAUAUUUCUCUUCCACCACCCUGGCCUUAAUACUCUCCUUUUACUUAUUCAAGGAGGAGUCAAAUUCUGUUUGGAGGAUCUUGGGGUUUAUUCGAAGGCUUUGAACUAGAUAAUGAAAAACUCAGUCUUUUGUUUCCUCCCUUAGUGUAGCAGAGUUCUGACUUCUUCCUAUACCCACUGUUAAUAAAGGACUUUUCAAACAAGAA